AGAGUUUGAUCAUGGCUCAGAUUGAACGCUGGCGGCAGGCCUAACACAUGCAAGUCGAGCGGUAGCACAGAGAGCUUGCUCUCGGGUGACGAGCGGCGGACGGGUGAGUAAUGUCUGGGAAACUGCCUGAUGGAGGGGGAUAACUACUGGAAACGGUAGCUAAUACCGCAUAACGUCGCAAGACCAAAGUGGGGGACCUUCGGGCCUCAUGCCAUCAGAUGUGCCCAGAUGGGAUUAGCUAGUAGGUGGGGUAAUGGCUCACCUAGGCGACGAUCCCUAGCUGGUCUGAGAGGAUGACCAGCCACACUGGAACUGAGACACGGUCCAGACUCCUACGGGAGGCAGCAGUGGGGAAUAUUGCACAAUGGGCGCAAGCCUGAUGCAGCCAUGCCGCGUGUGUGAAGAAGGCCUUCGGGUUGUAAAGCACUUUCAGCGGGGAGGAAGGCGAUAAGGUUAAUAACCUUGUCGAUUGACGUUACCCGCAGAAGAAGCACCGGCUAACUCCGUGCCAGCAGCCGCGGUAAUACGGAGGGUGCAAGCGUUAAUCGGAAUUACUGGGCGUAAAGCGCACGCAGGCGGUCUGUCAAGUCGGAUGUGAAAUCCCCGGGCUCAACCUGGGAACUGCAUUCGAAACUGGCAGGCUAGAGUCUUGUAGAGGGGGGUAGAAUUCCAGGUGUAGCGGUGAAAUGCGUAGAGAUCUGGAGGAAUACCGGUGGCGAAGGCGGCCCCCUGGACAAAGACUGACGCUCAGGUGCGAAAGCGUGGGGAGCAAACAGGAUUAGAUACCCUGGUAGUCCACGCCGUAAACGAUGUCGAUUUGGAGGUUGUGCCCUUGAGGCGUGGCUUCCGGAGCUAACGCGUUAAAUCGACCGCCUGGGGAGUACGGCCGCAAGGUUAAAACUCAAAUGAAUUGACGGGGGCCCGCACAAGCGGUGGAGCAUGUGGUUUAAUUCGAUGCAACGCGAAGAACCUUACCUGGUCUUGACAUCCACAGAACUUUCCAGAGAUGGAUUGGUGCCUUCGGGAACUGUGAGACAGGUGCUGCAUGGCUGUCGUCAGCUCGUGUUGUGAAAUGUUGGGUUAAGUCCCGCAACGAGCGCAACCCUUAUCCUUUGUUGCCAGCGGUCCGGCCGGGAACUCAAAGGAGACUGCCAGUGAUAAACUGGAGGAAGGUGGGGAUGACGUCAAGUCAUCAUGGCCCUUACGACCAGGGCUACACACGUGCUACAAUGGCAUAUACAAAGAGAAGCGACCUCGCGAGAGCAAGCGGACCUCAUAAAGUAUGUCGUAGUCCGGAUUGGAGUCUGCAACUCGACUCCAUGAAGUCGGAAUCGCUAGUAAUCGUAGAUCAGAAUGCUACGGUGAAUACGUUCCCGGGCCUUGUACACACCGCCCGUCACACCAUGGGAGUGGGUUGCAAAAGAAAGUAGGUAGCUUAACCUUCGGGAGGGCGCUUACCACUUUGUGAUUCAUGACUGGGGUGAAGUCGUAACAAGGUAACCGUAGGGGAACCUGCGGUUGGAUCACCU
rnacentral:rRNA from 1 species